rnacentral:rRNA from 1 species
GACGAACGCUGGCGGCGUGCUUAACACAUGCAAGUCGAACGAAGUGGCGAACGGGUGAGUAACGCGUAAUCAACCUGCCCUUCAGAGGGGGACAACAGUUGGAAACGACUGCUAAUACCGCAUAAUGAAGGAGGGGAUUGCGUCUGAUUCGCUGGUUGGAGGGGAAACGGCCCACCAAGGCGAUGAUCAGUAGCCGGUCUGGGGGGAGGAUCAGCCAAAUUGGGACUGGGACACGGCCCAGACUCCUACGGGAGGCAGCAGUGGGGAAUCUUCCGCAAUGGACGAAAGUCUGACGGAGCAACGCCGCGUGAGUGAUGACGGCCUUCGGGUUGUAAAGCUCUGUUAAUCGGGACGCGGUACCGGAAUAGAAAGCCACGGCUAACUACGUGCCAGCAGCCGCGGUAAUUC